rfam:Streptomyces scabiei 87.22 complete genome
CUUCAGGGAGCCGAUCAGCAGGGGGCGCCCGUCGGAGCGUUCCCGGCCGUACGUGGCGAGCAGGGCCUGGGCCUC